CACCCCCAUCCCUUCACCACGAUGGCUCACUACUUUUAGUUCCCCUUGUUGAUGUUUGAAGAAACUCACUUCAGUUUUUGUAACUUCUGUAAUAAUCAUCUUUGCUUCCUGUUCUGUUAAAUACGAUCUACAUCUCUCUGCUCGACGUUUUGUUGUGCGUCUGUGUGUGUGAGUGUGUGUAUGUGUGUGUGUGUAUGUGUACAUGCAUACAGGUACCUAUGGAGUCCAGAAGAAAGUGUCGAAGUACUUGGAGAUGGAGUUACAGGAGUGCUCAAAUUCCGAUGUGUGACAUCAUACCCGGUUUUAUGCAGCAUGGGGCAUGGAAUCCAAGGCCUCAGAGAUACUAGGCCAGCACUUUACCAGCCGAGCCACACAGCCGCUCCCUUCACCAGCAAUUUCAUCUCUUCGGAUUCACCAAAAUGGGAUUUCUAAAUCUAAGAAUAUGAGGCAAGGUCUCAUGUAGUCUGGGCUGUAUGUAAACGUGUCUCCAGCCCCACUUUCAAGUACUUGGGGUUCUUUAGUGGAUGACUUUUUACAUUUUAUUUUUAUUUAGUAUAUGACUGCUUAUAUGCCGUGCAGCUCAUACAUGUUUGGUGUAUACAAAGCCAGAUGAAAGUAUCAGGUCCCCUAGAACUGGAGCUGCAGGCUGUUGCGAGUUGCCAAGUGGGUGAUGGGAACACAACCUGGGUCCUCUGGAAGAGCAGCUAGCACACCUAAUUGCUGAGCCAUCUUUCCAGCUCCCCUCCCCCAAUUCUAAGUUUUAAUGACUAAUGUACAGUAAUUUCUAAGAAAAAUAUGAGUACUCUCCACAGUAUUUAAUGUGUCUACUUUCCUGUGACUUCAGCUAUGUUUUCCUAGGCUAGGGAGAGGCGCACUCAGUCCAGUGCUGGCUGCAUGUGCAUGGUGGUGACCUGAGUUAGGGGAUCCCCAGCGUAUUUUAUUUUAUUUAUUGUGGGGGAUCCCCCACAAUAAAAGACUGAGUGUAGCGGCUCACACCCAUAAUCCCCUUAUUCCAGCACUGGAGCUCACUGGCCAGUCAAUACAGUAGAACCCGUUAGAUCUAGGCUCAGUGAGAUACUGUCUAAAUAAACGAGAGCAAUAGAAGAUACUCAAUGUCAAUCUCUGGUACACACACACACACACACACACACACACACACACACACACACACCAGUACAUACACACACAUUAUUUUUUCUUCUAAUCUUUAACUUAAAAAGAUUUCUAGUCAGUGAAAUUUAACUGUUCUGUAAUCAACUUUUUCCUUUGGACUUCCAUAUCACUUACAGUUCUUAAAUUGUAUAGAUUGUGGGAACCAGCUGGGGUUAACUUAAAUUGGAGGGGACUUACAAGAGAGCACAAGAUCUUUGAAAUGUGGGCAAACAGACUUGGAAAUUACUAAGAGCUAAGAGUUGGUUGAUCUAAGCUAACAGGAAAUUGGGGCGUCUCGGGUGAGCAGUGAACCCAGAGUUAUCAAGUAAACCCCAUUAGCCCACCUUUGUUUUCCUUCUGCUUCUAGUGGUUGUCUCUGCAGGAUCUUUUGACUGAACCCCUCUGCCUCUGUCUCUGGAGAAGCGUGGGGCAGAAGGGGUGUAUAUGUAAACGGGGUGGUCAGAAACAGUUUGGCAGGAAGUAUAUGGGAAGUUCUCUGUGCAGCUGAGGGAGGCUGACCAACUUUGCCAGCAGCAAACAGGAAGUAAAGGAGAUCCUAAGCGAGCAAAAUGUUUGGGUAGACAGAGUAUGAAAAACAAGCAUAAAUAACAUCUCUAGCGAGCGCUGGGAGCUUCUAAACAUUUCCAACAGUUACUGCCUUUGCAGGCACAGGACAAGCUUAGCUAUAUGAAACAGAAUGUUAGCUGUUUCCUCUUGUCUUUGAAAAGUAUUUACGUUUACUUUACUCUCUCUCUCUCUCUCUCUCUCUCUCUCUCUCUCCCUGUGUGUGUGUGUGUGUGUGUGUGUGUGUGUGUGUGUGUGUGUGUGUGUGU